GUUCGACAUUUUAAACUUCUGUAACCACUCAAAGACAUGGACCUAAAUUUAGUGACCAUUGGAACAAUUAACUCUCAAUGAUGGCCUUCUAGAGAUUGUUGGUUUUAAAAAUGCUUGGCAUAGACUGGUCCUGCUUGCUCCUAAUGGACAUGUGACACAUCUUGCAUAGGUUAGAAUCAAGCAGAAAGUUGGGAGAAACUUAGGGGGUGUUCUUUUCGUAUUUCAGUUUUAUAGUUUUGAAUUUUGUCUUUUAAGUGUUUGUUUUGAAAUUAUUGAAAAUGCGUUAUUUUUGUUAGUCCGAAAAACUAUUUCUCAAAACAAAAAAAUAAAAAACAUGUUUCCUUUGAAAUUUUGAGAAUCAUCACGACACCACCAUCAAGCAUCAAGCACCGCCAAAAUCAACCAAAAUCAACUCCACUGCCACUACCAUGAACCAUCAACCACUACCACCACCGUCCACAACCACCAACAAAUUGAAUGCAAGAAAAAAAAAAACCACUUGUCACCACCGUCCACAACCACCAACACCUUCAAUUGCAAGAAAAAAAACAACUAGCAAUACAGUCAAAAUUGGUUCAUGAACUGUCUGGCUUGAUUUAGCCUAUUGGAUCGAAAUUGGUGAUGAUCCAUGGGUUCAUUUGGUUCCCUUCGUAGCCAGCGUCCAGAAGAGAGAAGGCAGAGCUUAUCGGAAAGAGAAGACACAGAAUACAUUUUGAGUUUCACAAGGGUGCCGCUGAUCACAACUUCACGAGGAUUGAUGGGGAACCAUGGUAACAACCACUUCCUGUGGAUGGUGACACUGUUGUCGUACAGAUUUCUCACCUCGGCCAGGUGAAGAUGCUUGCUAUCAAGUCUGCAGAUCCAAAAGUGGUCACGACCCCUCGUCUCCCAACAUUCAGGAUGUAGAUGAAAGGGAUAGCGACUAUGAACACGAGUAUGUAGAGGAAGAAUGGGGAAAAUUUGGUGCAGCAGAUAUAUUCAAGAUUCCAGAUGAGGUCGACAUCUCUCAUCCCAGUUAAAUCUCUUAUUGGUUGAAGUUAUUAAAAUAACUAAACUUCAACACUUAUUAGUUGGUAAUAAUCUCGUUUCAGCUAAAUCAUAAGGUUAAUUCAUUUGUUGUUUGCAAAAAUUUGUAUUAGGCAACAUUAAGGGCGUGAUGAAUUUUGUAACAAUUCUAAAGAAAUUAAUAGUUAAUGAAAAUGAUUUCAACAUGGCUAAAUCACGAGGAUCUGAAUUAUUAUUUGUCAUUUAAUACAGCCUCUAUUUUGAUAACCUGUCUGAACCAUUCUUAUCAUGCAAAAGAUCAAAUUAACUGUUAGAUAUAUAUUGAGAGAGAUUU